GACAGAGGGUGCAAACGUUGUUCGGAAUUACUGGGCGUAAAGCGCACGUAGGCGGAUUUGUAAGUCAGGGGUGAAAUCCCGGGGCUCAACCUCGGAACUGCCUUUGAUACUGCAAAUCUCGAGUCCGGAAGAGGUGAGUGGAAUUCCUAGUGUAGAGGUGAAAUUCGUAGAUAUUAGGAAGAACACCAGUGGCGAAGGCGGCUCACUGGUCCGGUACUGACGCUGAGGUGCGAAAGCGUGGGGAGCAAACAGG
rnacentral:rRNA from 1 species